rnacentral:lncRNA from 1 species
CCACCACGCACAAUGGGCAACAGGACAUGGGCUGAAACUUGAAUUGGCGUCAGGAAGGAAGCAUAUCCAUUGCAACCACAUGAAACUGAAAACAUGUGGGCAAGGCAACCAUGACAGCACCAGCAUGUUCUACCAACUCCCACCAAUGGGAUGCAAACAGUGCCCCUUUGUGCAGAGGUGACAGAAAUGAGGCUGGUAGCUCCUUCAGGGUGCUGUAAAGUGAGGUUGGAACUCAGAGCUAGAGAAGAAGAGCCUGGAGCUUGGUGUGACAGUUGGAGCUCCAGUAACUGUCUUGGGUGAUGAGUUACCCUGGGAUGGAAGUUGGCGCUGAGGAUGGCGUGUGCAGAUUGCAGUGUGGUUCUCUCUCCCACUCCGCCCUGGAUCUGCUGACAUGCCUCAUUUUCUCCUCGUCCUGCCAGCAGCUGUAUGUCCUUCCUCACGUCUAGCCACCGUGCCUUUCAGGAUGCCAGCUCUCUGUGCUACGGCUGUGCCUCUUCCCUGAAUUACUCAGGUCUAUGCUAAGUUUUGGGCUCUCGCAACUUCCCUGGAUUCUCCCCAGAAUGAGAGUACAAGCCCCGGUUUUCGGAUUCCCCAAUCAACAUGAGGGUUUUGCCACUCCGCAACGGGCUCAGUUCUGUAGCAGUGUCUGGAAUGACCAGCAUCUAAGCCUUCUUUCCUUCCUUUCUGGUCCUUACACUUCCUCCCCAACUUGUAGAAACUUUAUAGGUGGCAAAAGGUACAAGGAACAAGAUAACGUCUCUCUUUUGUUAUAUAUGACUCUAAAUUUCAAAACAUCUAUGACUUUUGAAACACAAAACUGUCAGAAUUAUUUCCCUUCUUCUCCCCAUCCUGUGAUAACAUCCUUUUUCUGAGAUAAUAAAAGCCGUUGGCCCAGGUUCCCAGAGUGGGGAAAGGGUUGGCAGCCAUAGGAAGUACUACCGGGCCAAAGCAUCAGUGUGUAUCUUGCAAUACCUUACCACAUUGAGAAAAGGGGGAGGAGACACUAGGAGAAGAGCUGAACAGCAUCAGAGCCAGAGAUGGAUCAGGUCAGUAUUGGCAAUGUAGUUAAGAGCAGUGUGAUGCUGCUGCUGAAAUAUCAGAGUCCUGUAUGUCUCCCCUGUCUCUCCUCAAAGUCCCAUGGGGGGGACCUCAUCACUCAUCAUGAGAGGAAGCUGCUCUCAAGCCCACCUUGCAGCAUGGAGGAAAGAAAGGAGCCCACAUCUGAGGAUGCCCAGCAUGGCCUGGGCCCUUGAACAACAGGGUCACAGCCAAGGAUUCUCACCCCUCCAAUGUGGCAGAGGGGCCCCACUCUGGGGAAGGUGGCCUGCUCAGGGUCACAGUGGGUGGAGCAGCUUUCAAGGCACCCAGCAUUUAAUAAUUGAUCCUGUCAAAAAUCAUCGAUGGGUGCUAAAACAAGUGGGCCUAAGUUUGCUGAGGAACAGGCAUUCAUAGCAUCUCCACAUAUGAUAUUCAAAGUCUCAAAGUCUCUUUCAAAGCCACCAAAUUUAACGUCACCAGUUAUGGGACAAAUUGACAUUGUGUGCCUUCUGAUAGGAUGCACUGAGAAAAACACAUCGCUUUUGUGACAUUUCUGGCCAAAAUGUCUAACCUGAAUCUAAUCACAAGGAAACAUCAGACAAACCCAAACUGAGGGACAGUCUACAACAGUAACUGGUCUGUAUUCCCGAAAAACAUCAAGGUCACGAAAAUCAAAGGGAAGGCUAAGGAGCCAUUUCCAGUGGAAAAAGACUGAAUAGAAGGGACACCCAAAAGCAACGUGGAUUUGAUCCUAGACCAGAGAGGAAAGGGUGUUUAUGACGGCCAUCUUUGAGGCAGGCAGCUGCAUCUGAAAGGGCCCCUCGAUUGGAUGGUUGCAUUUCUCUCCAUGUUAAUUUCCUGAUUUGGGUGAUUGUAUUAUCUUUAUGUAAGGACGCUUGUUCUUAGGAAAUAAAUGCUGAAAUAUUUAGGGAUGAAGGAGCAUUCUUUCUCCAUCCCAUUUCUUCCCCCACCCCUUCUCUUCCUCCUUCCCUCUCCCACCCCCAAGCAAGUGUGGUGAAAUAUUCAUCAGUGGGGGAUCUGGGUAAAAGGUACUGGUGAGUUGUUUUUUGCACUAUUCCUGUAAGUUUUCUACACAUCUCAAGUUAUUUCAAUAUAAAAAAUUACCACCCCAACCCACACCCUCUAAAAUAUUUGAGGAACAUGAGAUCAGGGAGGGGAGGAGCCCCGAGCGCCCCCUAAAUGUCCAUGUUCAGAUCAGAAAGGGGCUUUGAAAAGCCUGAAGUCUAACCCUCUCAUUUCACCUCUGAAGGCUGAGACACCAGAGAGGUACAGGCACACAGGUCCCAUGAGCCCAGUGCAAAUGCGUGUAAGCCCCUUGCCAUACUGCCUCCCUGCUUCUGAAUCCCAGAUCUGCCAUUUGGUAACUAAGAGAACUUGAGCAAGCUACUGACAGGCUCCAGGACCUGCUACCCCCAAAUAUGAUACCUUGGCACAUUGACUGUUUCAAGCUGAAGGAAUCUGUAAAACAGCAGGUGCAGGAAGAUCUCUCUGACCUUUCCCUGAGGCAGGUCAUAAGCCCCUCCAUGAGAGGUGCCCUUUCUAUGCCUGGAGAAGAGGAGGAUCCUUAUCUCCAAGUCACAAGGACAUGUAGAGGAACCUAGAUGCAGGCUUGCUGUCUUCCCCAGCUGACCACUCUUACUUCCUACCUUUCUUUUGUCCUGUCACAUUUU